AUUGUAAUAAGUUUUUUAGAUGAAAAAUUAUUUAAUUAAAUUAUUAGAAUUGAUUUCUCUUAAUAUUUAUUUCAAUAUUUAUUUUAUAAUUAUUUAAAAGUGUAUAAUUAUUAAUGAAUAAAAACAUGACAGGACACCUAAGAGCUUCUACACUUGACAACUCAGAUGGGUAAGGUUACUCAACUUUUUUAGUAAGAUAAAUAAGAAUUGACCUGAAAAGAAAGAUAGAAGUAUAUCAUAAAUGGUUGAAUAUAUUUAAUGGUUGCAUCAAAACACCACCUAAGCCCAACAAAGAAGCAUCACAAUACAUGACAAUACAUGACAAAAGGUUCUACCGAAUUCGGUAAAAUCAAAAUAGGAGCAGUUGUCAACCUCCUCUUCAACUCUUGAAAAUUCUCUCCUCUUCAACUCUUGAAAAUUCUCUUCACACUGCAAAGUCCAAACAAAAGCUGAUCAUGGCAUAAUAUACAUCAAAUACAAAUACAACCUAAACAAAUAAAACACAAUAAUACUCAUAAAAUCAAAACCCUAACAUUGUGAGUUGAAAACUCAAUUUCAUGAAUACCCAAACAUCUACCUUUACUCUAAUCAUUACCUAACAACAUGUAAUUGAACAAUAAUGAAGAUUCUCCCCCUUACCUCUUGAAGAAAUGGAAUUAGGGUUGCCUCUUCUUCUUCUUCUUCUUCCUUUUCUCUUCUCUUCUCUUCUCUUCUCUCUUUCUCCAAAAUAACAAUACUAACUAUAAUUCUUACAUUAACCCUUACUAAAUCUAUUCUUAUUGGGCUUAGUAAUUAACACUCCCCAUUUACUUAUUACUACCACUUAGCCCAAUAACAAAUAAAACACAAUAAUACUCAUAAAAUCCAAUUAUUUAAAUAAUACUCAUAUUCAAAUAAUCCCAAUUAACACACAAAACACAUAAUAAAUUAAAGGACACACAAUAUUAUUAUAAAAUAAUAAUGAUAAUAAAUACUAAUAAUUAAUAAAUUUAAGAGUGUCACAAUCCUCCCCCACUUAAAAGAUUUUCGCCCUCCCCAUGCAUUAGCAACACCUCCCCAUGCAUUAGCAACCAUAUCAGAAAUCAUCAUGUCUGCUUCAAGCAAAACAGUAAAAUAUGCAUGGAGAUUUGUUGUUUACACUUGCAUUGGUUCAAGAGAAUAUAUCAUGUGCAAGGUUCUGGUUCCUACCUGCCACGUUGCAACCAAGGAAUGGUGCCAUCAUGGGGCAAAACUCAAUGAACUCAAUUAAGAGGCAACCAUAUCAGAAAAGAAGAAACAUUAAAACAAGUUUGAAUCUCAUGGCAAGAAUGCAUCAGCAAGAGCAUCAUAUUCUUGAAUAUAUCCAACACCCAAAAAAUAAAAAUAAAAGAGACAUAGAAGUUGGCAUACAAAAGAGGGAGAGAAAAAAUAAAUUAAAAUCAUACCAGAAGUAGAGUAUCCAUGAGAAGGAACAGGAUGAGAGAAGAAAGAAAAAAUGAGAAAGAAGGACAAUAUAAGAAGGGGGUGAGAGAGAGAAAUUAAGAAAUAAAAAAUGUUACAUUAUAGGUCUAAAAGGAGUUAGGUGAACUAAGUAGAGUCUGCUCAGCAGAGGAACUGCCACAGCCCUGCCACAGUCUCCCUUCAAACAGAAACAUCAAAUCAAAAUUUUAAAAAGAGUUAAAAAAGUGAAAACUUACUAGGUCUUUGGAAUCAAAAACAUACAAGAGAAAAAAUGUUCAUGAUGAAGGGGAGGGAGGAAAAAUGAGAGAGAAUGAGAGUAUGAGAAGAGAAAUAAGAUGAUUUGAGAGUACAUAUCAUUUUUUUAUUAAUUCUUUUUGAAAAAAGAAAAUAGUGGUAAGGGGUAAAGUAGGAUGGGACUUUAGGAAGACAGGAAGUCAUUUCAACGCAGUAUUUUUUGAAAAGGUGACUUCACAAGUUUAGUUGGACUGACUUUUCACAAGGUUAAGCAAAUUAAUAUUAUAAAACGACUUACCAAUAUUUUAUAGCUAAUAGGGUUAGAAGAAACUUAUCUAAUGGCAGAAUCCACUAUGUCUUUAAGAUAGAUAACCUUAGAGACCCUCUUAACAGCAUUGGAAGUAAUUACAACUUUUGGCUUACAAUCAAUGAAUCUAUUGGGAUUUGGAUUGGAUUGGUGUUCGGCGAUGGGAUGGAGGUGGAGAAACCGGAAGAGAGAGACGGAAGUAUAAUAUAAAUUUAACCAGGAUGGAGGUGGAGAAAUUUUUAUUUAAGAUAUUCUAUUUUAAAAAUAGUUUUAAUUAAAUAAAGUGUUGGUCACUAAUUUUUUUUAAUUCUUAAUCAUGCACCCAACAUUGUUUUUUUUCGUCUCUUGUACUAAAAUAUGAAAAUUAACCAUUUAUUUCUAAUUGCAUGUCAGUCCUCCAUCAUAUCCAGUUAAAGUCUGGGUUAGUUAUCAAAAUAUACUCAAGUGUUUUGUCUUGAAUGAGCUGCAUCAUAGACCUC
rnacentral:lncRNA from 1 species